rnacentral:rRNA from 1 species
AGAGUUUGAUCCUGGCUCAGGAUGAACGCUGGCGGCGUGCCUAAUACAUGCAAGUCGAACGAAUCUUCUUCGUAAGAUGAGUGGCGAACGGGUGAGUAAUACAUAGGUAACCUGCCCCUGUGCGGGGGAUAACAGGAGGAAACUCCUGCUAAUACCGCAUAGCCAUGAGCACCGCAUGGAGCUCAUGCCAAAUAUCCUUUACGGGAUAGCGCAGGGAUGGACCUAUGGCACAUUAGCUAGUUGGCGGGGCAUCGGCCCACCAAGGCAACCAUGCGUAGCCGGCCUGAGAGGGCGGACGGCCACAUUGGGACUGAUGACACGGCCCAGACUCCUACGGGAGACAGCAGUUAGGAAUAUUCGUCAAUGGGGGAAACCCUGAACGAGCAAUGCCGCGUGAAUGAAGAAGGCCCUAUGGGUUGUAAAAUUCUGUUGUUUGGAAAGAAAUGUAAGACUAGGAAAUGAGUCUUACUUGACGGUACCAUUCAAGAAAGCCACGGCUAACUACGUGCCAGCAGCCGCGGUAAUACGUAGGUGGCGAGCGUUAUCCGGAUUUAUUGGGCGUAAAGGGUGCGUAGGCGGUAUGUUAAGUAUAAAAUAAAAGCCCGAAGCUUAACUUCGGUUCGUUUUAUAAAUUGGCAAAGUAGAGUACAGUAGAGGCAAAUGGAAUUCCUAGUGUAGUGGUAAAAUGCGUAGAUAUUAGGAGGAACACCAGUGGCGAUGUCGAUUUGCUGGGCUGUAACUGACGUUGAGGCACGAAAGCGUGGGGAGCAAAUAGGAUUAGAUACCCUAGUAGUACACGGCGUAAACGAGGAGUACUAAGUGUCGGGAAACCGGUGCUGAAGUUAACACAUUAAGUAUUCCGCGUGAGGUAGCACGGUCGCAAGGCUGAAACUCAAAGGAAUUGACGGGCACCCGCACAAGCGGUGGAGCAUGUUGUUUAAUUCGAAAUACGCCGAAGAACCUUACCUAGAUUUGACAUCCUCGGCGAAGCUAUAGAAAUAUAGUGGAGGCUAUCCGAGUGACAGGUGGUGCAUGGUUGUCGUCAGCUUGUGUCGUGAGAUGUUUGGUUAAGUCCAAUAACGAGCGCAACCCUUGCUAUUAGUUGCUACGCAAGAGCACUUUAAUAGGACUGCCGUUGACAAAACGGAGGAAGGUGGGGGCGACGUCAAAUCAUCAUGCCCCUUAUGACCUGGGCUACACACGUACUACAAUGGCCAUCAACAGAGGGAAGCAAAACCGCGAGGCAGAGCAAACCCCUAAAAAUGGUCCCAGUUCGGAUUGUAGGCUGCAACCCGCCUACAUGAAGUUGGAAUUGCUAGUAAUCGCGGAUCAGCAUGCCGCGGUGAAUACGUUCCCGGGCCUUGUACACACCGCCCGUCA